GUAAAUAAUUUCUGUGUUAGAACCUCAGAGGCUCUUCUGAGUAAAAUCCACAUUCUUUAGUGUUAUGAAAUUGUAGCAUUAAUUUUGUCUUUCCAGAAAGUUUUUCUUAACUUAUUGGUUCUUGACUGUGUUCUAGAUGGCUGAGAUUGCCAGAAGUCUGACCUCCAGAUAAAUGAGGUGUUGUCACACAUUGAGUGCAUAAAUAAAGGGAAGAAGCUUGGAGGGAAAAGUCACAGAGCCAUCAAAAGUUUACCCAAUUUAUUCAUCCCUCCACACUCAGAAUAGAAAAGGAAUUGAGCUUCAGAGAACAUGACUAAGAACUGUAGCCAAGUAAC
rnacentral:lncRNA from 1 species